CCCCCCCCGCGCCCCCCCGCCCCCCAGCGGCCCGGCUGCUGUGGCCGUCCCCGCCCCGGCCCCGGCCCCGGCCCCGGCCCCGGCCUCCCCGCCUGCCUGGUUUUUCAAGUUACUACCGAAAGGCGACCGUGGGGAAGCUCGCGCCCAGCCCGGAGCUUGAACUUGAAGGCGCGGGGCCUGCGCACGACCACACCGCCACCUCCCGGCCGGGAGCCCAGAGCGUCAUGGAAAAAAAAACUUGAACAGCUCUUCAGAUCCACGUCUUCAUUUUCUCAAGAGUGUUACUGGAGUGUGAAUCAGUCCAGCGGUUUGGGAGGAAAGUGUCUGGUAGUGCCUGGAAAAGCUCACACCUGGCCCUACGUGGACGAGCCGUUGAAAUGCAUGUUUGGGAGCAGAGGAAGGGGGCUGGGUGCGCCACCCAGCAUCCACCAGCACUGGAGCGGGUUGUGAGGCGGGUGGAUCCUCCUCAAGUAAAACCUAGAGAUGAAAAUGAAGACCCCCUCCAACACGGAUGAGUGUCCAGGGUGUUGAGUGAAAGAGGCCGAGGCCCAGGCUGCAGGAUUACAUUUGUAGAAGCUACAAAAGAAGCAAAAUUGAACUACGUUGUUUAGGGGUACAUUAUUGGUAAAAAGUUGAGCGAAAGCCAGAAGGUGGUCACCAUGAGUCAAAGUGGUAGGUGCUGGGGUGGGGUGGGGUGGGGUGGGGUGCCCUGGCCACGGGCGGGCUGUGCAGGCUGCUGACCUGCGGGAAAUGCUCCUUCCAGUAGACUGCUGCUCAUUUGCACAUCCCAAGCUGCACAUUGGUUUGUUUAUAUGUUUUCUGUACCCUCUGUGUUUCACGAUAAAACAUUAAAAAAAUAAUAACGGUGAGGGGCACCUGGGUGGCUGAUUCGGCCAAGCCUCUAACUUCAUUUCAGGUCAGGAUCCUGUUGUCCUGGUAUCGAGGCCCUUCCCUGGGGGCUCCCUGGCUGAGAGUGGGCUCCUCCCUCUGCCUCUGUGUGCUCGCUCUCGCUCUCAAAUAAAUAAAUCUUUUAAAAAAUAAAAACCA
rnacentral:lncRNA from 12 species